UAGACACAUAAAAAAUAUUUACGAUAGUUUCGCAUUUUCGAAUAGUAAAUAAAAAUAUCAUGAUGCAGUGGAGUAAAAUAAAUGGUCUGAAAAUUGAUUUUUAAAAACAACAUUCAAACGAAACAUUCAAUGAAACGUUUUACAGAUCUUUUAUUCGAAACUAUCUGUCAUUCUAUCCAUUCCACAUAUUGUGCGCGGGAAAUGAGUAGCAGAGGCAGAAGUCAUGAUGCCCACAAGAUAUGUUAACGACACAGUUGGUUCAUUGUAGUAAUUAGUGAAGAGUGUUGGCCAGAGAGUUGGAGAGAGUGGUCGGAAAGAUGUCAAUGUCGCCGGUAAUGGUUUUGGGAGGAAUUGUACAACCACGUAAAUGCAAUUAUUCCCCAUCAAUACACCCCAGAGCGUGCAUGGUGAUAGGAAUAAAGGAAAUAUUUUAAUUCAAAUUUGUUUUGAACUAGCUAAAUAUUUCGUCUCUUCAAUUACAUGUUUUUGAAAAUAAUGCGUGGAAAU